rnacentral:lncRNA from 10 species
CGCCGUCGGGGGCACUGGAUUCGGGCGGGCUCUCCGCCCUGGCCUCUCCGAACCUGAUCCCUGAUCAUUAAAAUGGGAAUGAGUGUAAUACCACCUUCCUGCAACAAGGCUGUCAUUGGCUGUCACUGGGAUAGUGAGUCGGCCGAGUGCGGUGGCUCAUGCCUGUAAUUCCAGCACUUUGGGAGGCCGAGGCGGGCGGAUCACGAGAAAGCCCGCUUAUCUACCAUUUUAUUUACUGACAACUGUGAAGUAACCCAUGACCAGCUGUGUGAAUUGCUGAAGUAUGCAGUUCUGGGCAAAUCCAAUGUUCCAAAACCCAGCUGGUGCCAGCUUUUUCAUCAAAACCACCUAAACAACGUAGUGGUUUUUGUUCUGCAGGGAAUGAGUCAGCUACACUUUUACAGGUUCUAUUUGGAGUUUGGAUGUCUUCGAAAAGCAUUCAGACAUAAAUUCCGCUUGCCUCCACCAUCAUCUGAUUUUCUAGCUGAUGUUGUUGGGCUACAAACUGAACAAAGAGCUGGAGAUCUGCCCAAGACAAUGGAAGGGCCUUUACCUUCUAAUGCAAAAGCCGCCAUCAACCUUCAGGAUGAUCCCAUCAUUCAAAAGUAUGGCUCUAAGAAAGUGGGCUUGACCAGAUGCCUUCUGACAAAGGAGGAAAUGAGAACGUUUCACUUUCCAUUACAAGGUUUUCCUGAUUGUGAAAACUUUUUACUUACCAAAUGUAAUGGUUCUAUAGCAGACAAUAGUCCUCUCUUUGGACUUGACUGUGAAAUGUGCCUCACAUCCAAGGGGAGAGAGCUAACACGCAUCUCA